CAGUCGCCGCGGGAAUACGUAGGUUGCAAGCGUUAAUCGGAAUUACUGGGCGUAAAGCGUGCGCAGGCGGUUAUAUAAGACAGAUGUGAAAUCCCCGGGCUCAACCUGGGAACUGCAUUUGUGACUGUAUAGCUAGAGUACGGCAGAGGGGGAUGGAAUUCCGCGUGUAGCAGUGAAAUGCGUAGAUAUGCGGAGGAACACCGAUGGCGAAGGCAAUCCCCUGGGCCUGUACUGACGCUCAUGCACGAAAGCGUGGGGAGCAAACAGGAUUAGAUACCCCUGUAGUCCCUGUCUCUUAUAC
rnacentral:rRNA from 1 species